AAAUUACAAAAAAAAUCAAAAUAAUAUUUACAACUUUGAAGUAUCUAUAUUACAUGAUACGAAUUAUGUGCUCGGAAUGCAUUUUUUCUCAGAGCACCCAAAAAAUAAUACACUUUUCAUUAGAAAUCCGGUCCCUAAAUGUACGAACAAUAUUUUUGGUUAACACUGCAAUAGAACUGCGUGUUGGAGUUAACCCGACACGUGUGACAAACGAUAAUAUUGAUACGAGACAAAGACUUCGAAGUGACAGUGAACAUAACACAUACUCCACGUCGACAGGGACUAUUGAAUAGGACAGAAUUUUGCACAAUUGCGAGUGCACACGCACAUUGUCGUCGUAUAUAAAGGCAUACAUCGUGCAUUUAAAACCGUCGAUAAGGACGCUUUUGCGAGAGUGACGUUCGCGGUAAGUGUCACACAUGCUAUGGCGUCCUAAAGUCGAAAAUACCUUCGGUGUCGAUUAACGGGCACGUCGACAACAGCACAAUAACAUCAUUCGGUAGGUACCCUACACGAAUUGUUGUGGGAAUCGAAUUACGGUUUUUGUUAAAUCGUAAUAAACCGCACGGCGAGCAGCGUAUAAAUGUGCGAGCUGCAUUAGGUACACUGAAUUCGCGUAAGAAUAAUAUUUACGAUAUUUGAAAUGCACAUACCCUACAUCGGAUUUCGAACUCAAGUUAUAAUGAAAUGAAAAUAAACAAUUAUUAAGCUAACACUGGUUUUUUUGCCACACCUUAUUUACUUCCUGGUAUAUCAACCAAGUACCAAACCCAUUUUUUUAUUCAAUAGCAGAGACGAUAUUAAUUUUGUUUGUACAUUUUGUUUUGUACCAUGCAACUCCCUGCAACUUUUGUUCCUGAACGUUUAAGCCUUUUCUACAUGAAACUGAAACUUCAAAACCAAAAAACAGGGAACGCGCUCUGCUGUAUAGUAGGUUCGAGAGUAGCUCGCUAUUGAGUAUAGGUACCUACUACGAAAAACGGCUGAGAAGAAACAGUGUGUCGCAUCUACCUGUUUCUAAGGAGAUGGAAGGGGUAGACAUUCAAACGAAGGAGGCUAGGCGGGAAUUUGUGAAAAUCAAAGAAACGUAAACCAUCAUAAAUAGUAUCGUGGUAGCCACUAAAAAAGGCAUACUUCCGCCCAUAUACGAAAAAUAUCAAACUGAACUCUCCGUCCAACACAUAAUUCAAGAAUGCAGGAAAUACCAAAACAUACGUUCCAAUCUCUCUAUACUACCGAACAUGGAAAAAGCGUUCAACGAAAACAACGUCGCCAAAAUUAUCAAACUAUUAACCAAAACACAGCUUAUAUAAAAAAGUUCUAAUAUUGUAUGAAUCUAAUACCUAUAUCAUAAAAAAUCACCAUUAACUGAAUUUUUUUUCUUUUUAUAUCUACUCAUUUAUAUCUUAAUACUCUAGGCUAAUAACCUGUGAUGUUGAAGCUUUUAUUGGAAAAAUAAAAAUGUAUGACGUAUAUAUAUUACGGUAAAUACAACAGUUUUACGUACGCAUAAG